AGAGUUGAUCAUGGCUCAGGACGAACGCUGGCGGCGCGCCUAACACAUGCAAGUCGAACGGAGUCAAGAGGAGCUUGCUUUUCUUUGACUUAGUGGCGAACGGGUGAGUAACGCGUGAGUAACCUGCCCUGGAGUGGGGGACAACAGUUGGAAACGACUGCUAAUACCGCAUAAGCCCACGGCCCGGCAUCGGGCUGAGGGAAAAGGAUUUAUUCGCCUCAGGAUGGACUCGCGUCCAAUUAGCUAGUUGGUGAGGUAACGGCCCACCAAGGCGACGAUUGGUAGCCGGACUGAGAGGUUGAACGGCCACAUUGGGACUGAGACACGGCCCAGACUCCUACGGGAGGCAGCA
rnacentral:rRNA from 1 species